rnacentral:rRNA from 2 species
UACGUAUGUUCCAAGCGUUAUCCGGAUUUAUUGGGCGUAAAGCGAGCGCAGACGGUUAUUUAAGUCUGAAGUGAAAGCCCUCAGCUCAACUGAGGAAUUGCUUUGGAAACUGGAUGACUUGAGUGCAGUAGAGGAAAGUGGAACUCCAUGUGUAGCGGUGAAAUGCGUAGAUAUAUGGAAGAACACCAGUGGCGAAGGCGGCUUUCUGGACUGUAACUGACGUUGAGGCUCGAAAGUGUGGGUAGCAAAC